GGCAUGAAAUUAAUUUGGAUGUUUUGGAUGUUAAUUCCACUUUGAAAUCAAACUCUGAGCACACAGUCAAUCACUCAGUAAUCGCUGCUGAAUGGGUAUGUGUGAUGUCUCUGAGCUCCAUGGUUGCGAGGUUUUAAACAUCUCUAUGCUUCUCUCUAAGACGACCACUUCCUCUUUUCGCCGUCUUCCUCAUCCGAAACAGUGGUAUGGUUCCUGGUUAGCUAGCUGUGGCACUGAUCACUAACUCUAAAGUUCCACUCCACUCUGUCCGUCUCUUUCUGUCAGUCACGUCCAGGGUCUUCAUGGCGACUCUCCUGUCCUGGGAUUUGGUUUCUGUGGUCAUCAUGCUGUUCCUUGUCUACACAGAGUCAGUGACAAAAAUUAAAACAAAUAAAUCAGCUUCUUUGGGAGAAGAUGUUUAUUUGGUGUGCAAUGAAUCCAUGACGAACACAACUAAUCAAGUCAUCUGGAGAAAGGACACGGUUCUUAUUCUCUCUCAUUCCAAGGGGAAAAGAACUCACAGAAACUUCACCUCAGGCAGGAUGAGUGCUGACUCUCUUACUCCUACAGAGCUUAUUAUAUCUAUUGUAGAGCUAACUGACACCGGGACCUACAACUGUACUGUCACAGAUCGAAGGGGUGUUAAGACAAUGGAGUGGAAUUUGACUAUCACAGAUAACCUCAUAGAUAAUGCUGAAAAUGGCCUACAGAUGUUGUUGGUCUUCACAAUUCCGUCUGCUAUUGGAGGAGUGGCUCUGUUCAUUGGUAUCUGCUGUAUGGUCUGGCUGUGUAGGAAAAUAAAAAAAGAACAGACAAGUCAUUGUGAAAGGCGAGGAGAGGAGAGCAAUGCCCCAUCUCAAGGUCACGCUGCCCAAAGAGCACAACGCCAGCGGAGUCAGUACUUCGAAAGAUUCAACUCAGUCUACGGACAUUACUGAACACAUCAGAAGCAAUCAGAAGUUGAAUCAAUAACAAAUCACUCCCCACCUGUUUUGGUAAAAAUCUGAAGGAUGGGGCUGGAGAAAUGUAACCACUCUCAAAUUCCUGGACAGAGCUAUGGAUGCAAGGACUGAUUAUAUAACAAUUAUAGUUUUCACCAUGUUUUGAGGCACCAUGUUUGUUUACAUUUAGUUUGUUUGCAAACAUUGGAGUAAAAUAUUCUUAUAUAUCGAGUUCUGAUAGGGUAAAACAGCUGAACUAAGUUCAUGAGGCAUUUAUAAGUUAUAUUCUUCAAGAAUCAAUGGGUAUAUAUCACAAAUGUAUAAAUUGACAAAGCUACUGCAGAUUUCCCCUUUAAAGUGAAUUCACCUAUACCUCAUAAAGACCUUAUUUAUGUAAAUAAAUUAGGAAUGUGUGUAAACCUACUCUCUCCUCUGGCUAUGGAAUUACACUCAAAUGUACAGUAAGAGUAAAACAAUUAAACUAAAAACAUUGCCUUCUUAUUAGGUAAUAUACUUUCAUACAUUAAAGGAGCAAUAUGCAGAAAUCACUGCCAUUUCCUGGUUGCAAAAAUUCUAAUUGUUUGCCUAAUUUCAGUUUAUGUGACAAAACGAGCAGUAAUUGUAUAGAAAACCAUUGCACCAUCUAAACCGCUGUGAAAUAUACUUUCUACAAACAAAAUUGUAUUGUAUUUUCAGCUGUUUGAAGCUGGUGUACAAAACCAAAAGUAAAAUAUGCAAAAAGGAAACUUAAGAACGGGAAGCAUAGAAAUAGCACACACAACAGAUAUACUGCUUCUUAGACUUGCUUUCAAUGAGAAUGACAGAUCUAUACU
rnacentral:lncRNA from 1 species